rnacentral:lncRNA from 1 species
GAGAUGGAGGUGGAGUCAAGAAGAAAAAGGAGGUUUCUGUUACUGUCUCUUGAUUUCCUGAUGCCCACAUUUUCCCCCUAGAGCCUUUCAUAGAAGUUUCAGAAAGACAGCUCUAAGUGCUUUGUACUUACUUAAUAAGGAGCUUGCUAUAGCUGUUCCCAAUGAGACUAGAAAGCUAUAGCCUAGGGCACUAGGUAGAGCUCCCCCAUGCGGAGUAAAGGGCUGCCAUUCUCAGAGAAAGGAGGUGAAGUUUUCCUCCAUGGCCCCUUUGCAUUCCUUUGCUGCCUUCCUCCUGGGAGUCAAUAGUACUAGAAGUUAGACCUUCUCCUCUUGGAUGGGGCAGUGUCUAGGUCCAGCCCGGCUCUCCUGAAGGACACAGGAUAUCAUCUGU